AAACGAUUGACCUCGGAUCAGGUAGGGAUACCCGCUGAACUUAAGCAUAUCAAUAAGCGGAGGAAAAAGAAACCAACAGGGAUUGCCUCAGUAACGGCGAGGAGGG
rnacentral:rRNA from 1 species